UUGACGUUCACCUUGGCGGAGAAACGUCUCUCGUUCGUCACUUGGUUUGUGGCUGCUAAGUGGGUUGGUUUGGUACUUGGUACUGGUACCAUGAAAUGGCGGAUGAGUUCCAUACACCCUAUUUUAUAACAUCGAUCCAGUUUUUAAAGUAAAAAGUUACCAGCAAGGGUUGUCUGGAGUUAGGGAGACAUGUGUGUGACAACUCCUGUUGGAGCCUAAUAGGAAUCAUUCGCCAUUUGGAAGAAACCCUAACAUGAAACCGUAGCCCUUUGACCACCUAGGGAAACCACUGCAGCCACGGCCAAGUCACCAUUGGGAGUAUGUCUAUUUGGGAGCAAGCUAUGGGAGCGUUCCAGCUCAAUUUUCGUCUUGGCACCUGGGCCUACAGGAGUCAUGGGGUCGCACCAUCCUGGUGCAUCAUUUUCUAGGAUGCAACCGCAACCUCGUUUGGGAACAUUUAGUGAGGUGUUUUAGUAACUAUUGGUUUUUUUAUAUUUCAGACUAUCUGUUAAAUACACUAUGUUUUUUUCCAGAUUUAGGUUACCUCUGGUUUUUUUUGACAUAUUUGUAUAUUAGAUUAUUUGGUUCCCAAACUUUGUAUCUACGGUAACUUCUUGUGCACAGGAAUAAGCCUAGAGAAAAUUAGGUUUUUAAUACUUUAUUAUUGCUUUGAUAUUGGUUUAUGUAAUUCGGGUAAAUUCAUUUUGGUAAUAUUACUUGCUUGUUUCCCAAAUAUUUUCUUGUUAUUCGCUUUAUUUCGAUUGUUCGGUUAAUUCGUCGUUACUUUAUUUCAUUGAAUUUUCUCGGUUAAUUUAGGUCAUCGUUUCGGUAUUAAUUACUUCAUUACUAUCACUUUAUUCAUUUGUAUAUUUAAUUUUAUUUAUUCAUUAUGGUAUUUUCUCUUAGUGAGGCUUGGGCCUAUUUAUUUGUAGUAUUUUCAUCUUUGUCAGUUUCCUUUAGUUGUACGUAGCGGGCGUACUAUA